UUGCAGUCGCUCAUUGACGGCGCUCGUGAGAGCUUCGGGUGUUCCGUAGUAAUUUGUUGGAAGUGAAAUGUGCCGAGUUUCCGUCUCUCGAGUGUUUAUGUGAAUGCAGUGAAUGAGGUCCAGGAACUUGGUUGACAGGUUGAAAUUCACCAUUCAGAGAAAGCGAGUGUUGUUCUUGUUUUUCCAACGUCAGGACCUCUCCAUAUAACUGCGCAGAUGGUUUCCUUUUGUUUCUACGGGCACCUGCACUGUGACUGCGGCUUGGACGUGGGGCUGACUGCGGAGGCCUGCUUCUUGGUGAUCGGUGGACAUCGGGGGGCAAGGAUGGCACAAAUGCCAGUUGCUGCGUCAACGGUGGAGGAACCCUCACCUUGCUGUGUGGCCAUUCUGCAGUGGCACAGAAAGUCCUGCAGACAUGUGAUCGGUGAUGAUCGGUGCUAUAUGUGAUUUGUAUUCAAUUUGACUGAUCUUCCAAUUAAAGAUGAAUACUGUUGAACAGAAUGCCGCAUGGCAACUUACAGCAGUUUCACUGGA